CCUACGGGAGGCUGCAGUGGGGAAUAUUGGGCAAUGGGGGCAACCCUGACGCAGCCAUGCCGCGUGAGUGAAGAAGGUCUUCGGAUUGUAAAGCUCUUUCGGCCGUGACGAUGAUGACGGUAGCGUCUAACUAAGCACCGGCAAACUUCGUGCCAGCAGCCGCGGUAAUACGAAGGGUGCGAGCGUUGUUCGGAAUUACUGGGCGUAACGGGAGUGUAGGCGGAGAGGUAAGAUAGAGGUGAAAUGCCGGGGCUCAACCCCGGAACUGCCCUUAUGACUAGGGAUCUAGAGUAAUGGAGAGGAGAGCGGAAUACCCAGUGUAGAGGUGAAAUGCGUAGAGAUGGGGUAGAACACCGGUGGCGAAGGCGGCUAGCUGGGCAUUUACUGACGCUGAGGCUCGAAAGCAUGGGGAGCAAACAGGAUUAGAUACCCUGGUAGUC
rnacentral:rRNA from 1 species